rnacentral:rRNA from 1 species
AUUGAACGCUGGCGGCAUGCCUUACACAUGCAAGUCGAACGGCAGCACGGGAGCAAUCCUGGUGGCGAGUGGCGAACGGGUGAGUAAUAUAUCGGAACGUGCCCAGUCGUGGGGGAUAACGUAGCGAAAGCUACGCUAAUACCGCAUACGAUCUAUGGAUGAAAGCGGGGGAUCGCAAGACCUCGCGCGAUUGGAGCGGCCGAUAUCAGAAUUAGGUAGUUGGUGAGGUAAAGGCUCACCAAGCCGACGAUCUGUAGCUGGUCUGAGAGGACGACCAGUCACACUGGGACUGAGACACGGCCCAGACUCCGACGGGAGGCAGCAGUGGGGAAUUUUGGACAAUGGGCGCAAGCCUGAUCCAGCAAUGCCGCGUGCAGGAUGAAGGCCUUCGGGUUGUAAACUGCUUUUGUACGGAGCGAAAAGGCUUCCACUAAUACUGGGGGCUCAUGACGGUACCGUAAGAAUAAGCACCGGCUAACUACGUGCCAGCCGCCGCCGUAAUAC